AUUGAACGCUGGCGGCAUGCCUUACACAUGCAAGUCGAACGGCAGCAUGAUCUAGCUUGCUAGAUUGAUGGCGAGUGGCGAACGAGUGAGUAAUACAUCGGAACAUGCCCUGUAGUGGGGGAUAACUAGUCGAAAGGUUAGCUAAUACCGCAUACGACCUAAGGGUGAAAGUGGGGGACCGCAAGGCCUCAUGCUAUAGGAGCGGCCGAUGUCUGAUUAGCUAGUUGGUGGGGUAAAGGCCCACCAAGGCGACGAUCAGUAGCUGGUCUGAGAGGACGAUCAGCCACACUGGGACUGAGACACGGCCCAGACUCCUACGGGGGGCAGCAGUGGGGAAUUUUGGACAAUGGGGGCAACCCUGAUCCAGCAAUGCCGCGUGUGCGAAGAAGGCCUUCGGGUUGUAAAGCACUUUUGUCCGGAAAGAAAUCGCACUUACUAAUAUUAGGUGUGGAUGACGGUACCGGAAGAAUAAGGACCGGCUAACUACGUGCCAGCCGCCGCCGUAA
rnacentral:rRNA from 1 species